CUAAUUGUUCAUGUGGAGAAGAAGGUACAGCGGAGCACAUGAUCCUAGGCUGUUCUAGAAUAAUAAACGAGGUUAAAUUAUUAAAUGAAGAAAUGGCCAAAAUACCCAAAAUCACCAGACCAUAUAACCUAACUCAACUAUUAAGAGCAGAAGAUUUCAAUGUUUAUCAAAUUUUGUACAAACAUAUUUUAUGUAUUAGAUUAAGUUUAUAACCUAUGUUUUUUUUCCUUUCGUGUUAAGCCCUAUGCCUAUCCGAGGUCCACCUGUCUCGUCUAAAUGCUCUGAUCGACCCCUGAGCGUCAAAUUGUGUCCUAGUCUAAUAUCCCAAAUUAUAUUGAAAAAAAGACAAUGAAAAAUAAAAAAAA
rnacentral:lncRNA from 1 species